rnacentral:rRNA from 1 species
GAUGAAUGAUGGAGGAGGGAAGAAUACAUGCAAGUCGAGCGAACGGACGAGAAGCUUGCUUUUCUGAUGUUAGCGGCGGACGGGUGAGUAACACGUGGAUAACCUACCUAUAAGACUGGGAUAACUUCGGGAAACCGGAGCUAAUACCGGAUAAUAUUUUGAACCGCAUGGUUCAAAAGUGAAAGACGGUCUUGCUGUCACUUAUAGAUGGAUCCGCGCUGCAUUAGCUAGUUGGUAAGGUAACGGCUUACCAAGGCAACGAUGCAUAGCCGACCUGAGAGGGUGAUCGGCCACACUGGAACUGAGACACGGUCCAGACUCCUACGGGAGGCAGCAGUAGGGAAUCUUCCGCAAAGGGCGAAAGCCUGACGGAGCAACGCCGCGUGAGUGAUGAAGGUCUUCGGAUCGUAAAACUCUGUUAUUAGGGAAGAACAUAUGUGUAAGUAACUGUGCACAUCUUGACGGUACCUAAUCAGAAAGCCACGGCUAACUACGUG